rnacentral:rRNA from 1 species
UACGUAGGGUGCAAGCGUUGUCCGGAAUUAUUGGGCGUAAAGAGCUCGUAGGUGGCCUGUCGCGUCGGCUGUGAAAACUCGGGGCUCAACUCCGAGCUUGCAGUCGAUACGGGCAGGCUAGAGUUCGGCAGGGGAGACUGGAAUUCCUGGUGUAGCGGUGAAAUGCGCAGAUAUCAGGAGGAACACCGGUGGUGUAAACGGCUUUCUGGACCAUAACUGACGCUGAGGCACGAAAGCGUGGGUAGCAAACAGG